UUCUGUUUUAUCUAUGGUAUGGAUAUUUACUUUGCAAUAAUUUUCAUGACAUGAGACUACAUUUUGCUGCAAUUACAAGCGAUUUGAUCUAGUUUUGUUAUAAUUUCGUUUCAAUUUUAUGCGAAUAGGUACUGAGUUUAUAAAAGUAACAUAAUAUUGUCUUGUAUAUAAUUAGUUUUUGUGUAUUUCGGAUUCCGUUUACAUCUAGGUACCUACUAUGUCGGGGUCCUACGAGAAAGCUGGCGUAUCAACGCCACGAAUAUUCUGGCGCCCGUAAAUCGUCAAAACGAGUGAAAAGCGCAUUCAGUUGGAUACAUGUGGACGACAAGAUAGUAAACCUGUAAAUUAUAACUCAAGUUGUGGCCAGCUUCAUUGUAAACAAACUUUAGUUUUCAAGUUCAAGGACAAAUGCGUGUCAGUAACAUGGAUAAAUGCUACUUCAUAUGUUUUAUUUCAGUCAAUGAACCUUUGACUGUUAUAGAAGUUUGUCGAGAUAAUAUAAUGACUUUAUCAGCAAUAUGAUGCCAAAGUUAAUACACUUUUUUAAAGAAUGUAUUCUGCCAGAAAUAGUUUUGAGACAUGUUCAAAAAAAUGCGAAAUGUAUACCUAGGUAUGAAAGCAGCUGUGUAGCGGUAGUUUCCAGGCAAUAAUGAAGAAGGAUGAGUGAAAACAACACGACAAAUGUUUUUUUAUUGUACUAUUAUAGUAGUGUGUUUAGAAUCUACAUUAUCAAUGUUUACAGUCAUGUUUUUUUUGAUGUCAGAAAACUGAAAUGGUGUACUCGUCGUAAUGAACAUAAUGUUCAUAAUGUGAUAUGAAUACAUUGACCUAUUUUAAGGUUUCUGAAAAACAAAAAGGAAAGUUGUUGCUUUUUUAUUUCCUUAUGUAGUAUAGUGAUUAUGGAUGCUUAGAUAUUCUCAAACAUUUUUCCGCUUUCAUUGCAAUCUAUUAUUCUGGUUGCCUUGUUUAUGAAUUAUAGUUUUGAAUUAUUAUUUUGAAUGAGAUUAUUUUUUAAUAAUCAGUCACGUAUCAAGCAUUCAUGUCACAUAAAUACUUGUAAUAAUUGCAGGUUAGUAUAUACAUUCUAUUAAAUAAUGUAUAAGAUAAUAAAAUAAAACUGUCUUACAUUGCA